rnacentral:rRNA from 1 species
AAACUUUCAACAACGGAUCUCUUGGUUCUCGCAUCGAUGAAGAACGCAGCGAAUUGCGAUAUGUAUUGUGAAUUGCAGAUUUUCGUGAAUCAUCAAAUCUUUGAACGCACAUUGCGCCCUCUGGUAGUCCAGGGGGCAUGCCUGUUUGAGCGUCAUUU